rnacentral:rRNA from 2 species
GCAGCCUGAUGCAGCGACGCCGCGUGAGGGAUGACGGCCUUCGGGUUGUAAACCUCUUUCAAUAGGGACGAAGCGCAAGUGACGGUACCUAUAGAAGAAGGACCGGCCAACUACGUGCCAGCAGCCGCGGUAAUACGUAGGGUCCGAGCGUUGUCCGGAAUUACUGGGCGUAAAGAGCUCGUAGGUGGUUUGUCGCGUUGUUCGUGAAAACUCACAGCUCAACUGUGGGCGUGCGGGCGAUACGGGCAGACUAGAGUACUGCAGGGGAGACUGGAAUUCCUGGUGUAGCGGUGGAAUGCGCAGAUAUCAGGAGGAACACCGGUGGCGAAGGCGGGUCUCUGGGCAGUAACUGACGCUGAGGAGCGAAAGCGUGGGGAGCGAACAGGAUUAGAUACCCUGGUAGUCCACGCCGUAAACGGUGGGUACUAGGUGUGGGUUUCCUUCCUUGGGAUCCGUGCCGUAGCUAACGCAUUAAGUACCCCGCCUGGGGAGUACGGCCGCAAGGCUAAAACUCAAAGAAAUUGACGGGGGCCCGCACAAGCGGCGGAGCAUGUGGAUUAAUUCGAUGCAACGCGAAGAACCUUACCUGGGUUUGACAUGCACAGGACGCCGGCAGAGAUGUCGGUUCCCUUGUG